rnacentral:rRNA from 1 species
AUACGUAGGGUGCAAGCGUUAUCCGGAAUUAUUGGGCGUAAAGGGCUCGUAGGCGGUUCGUCGCGUCCGGUGUGAAAGUCCAUCGCUUAACGGUGGAUCCGCGCCGGGUACGGGCGGGCUUGAGUGCGGUAGGGGAGACUGGAAUUCCCGGUGUAACGGUGGAAUGUGUAGAUAUCGGGAAGAACACCAAUGGCGAAGGCAGGUCUCUGGGCCGUUACUGACGCUGAGGAGCGAAAGCGUGGGGAGCGAACAGGAUUAGAUACCCUGGUAGUCCACGCCGUAAACGGUGGAUGCUGGAUGUGGGGCCCGUUCCACGGGUUCCGUGUCGGAGCUAACGCGUUAAGCAUCCCGCCUGGGGAGUACGGCCGCAAGGCUAAAACUCAAAGAAAUUGACGGGGCCCGCACAAGCGGCGGAGCAUGCGGAUUAAUUCGAUGCAACGCGAAGAACCUUACCUGGGCUUGACAUGUUCCCGACGGUCGUAGAGAUACGGCUUCCCUUCGGGGCGGGUUCACAGGUGGUGCAUGGUCGUCGUCAGCUCGUGUCGUGAGAUGUUGGGUUAAGUCCCGCAACGAGCGCAACCCUCGCCCCGUGUUGCCAGCGGAUUAUGCCGGGAACUCACGGGGGACCGCCGGGGUUAACUCGGAGGAAGGUGGGGAUGACGUCAGAUCAUCAUGCCCCUUACGUCCAGGGCUUCACGCAUGCUACAAUGGCCGGUACAACGGGAUGCGACGCGGCGACGCGGAGCGGAUCCCUGAAAACCGGUCUCAGUUCGGAUCGCAGUCUGCAACUCGACUGCGUGAAGGCGGAGUCGCUAGUAAUCGCGAAUCAGCAACGUCGCGGUGAAUGCGUUCCCGGGCCUUGUACACACCGCCCGUCAAGUCAUGAAAGUGGGCAGCACCCGAAGCCGGUGGCCUAACCCCUUGUGGGAUGGAGCCGUCUGAGGUGAGGCUCGUGAUUGGGACU